rnacentral:rRNA from 1 species
UACGAAGGGGGCUAGCGUUGCUCGGAAUCACUGGGCGUAAAGCGCACGUAGGCGGAUUUCUAAGUCAGGGGGUGAAAUCCUGGAGCUCAACUCCAGAACUGCCUUUGAUACUGGCGAUCUUGAGUCCGGAAGAGGUGAGUGGAACUCCUAGUGUAGAGGUGGAAUUCGUAGAUAUUAGGAAGAACACCAGUGGCGAAGGCGGCUCACUGGCCCGUUACUGACGCUGAGGCACGAAAGCGUGGGGGAGCAAACAGGG